AUAAUUUUUCCAAAAAUCAAAUGACACUUGGUAUAAUGUAUCGUUUUAAAUGACACCUGAAUGAAUUCUUUGUCAGUUCAAUGUAAGCACUUAAAUGAGUACAUACGUGGUGUUUUAUCAAGCAAGGAAGUUACUUAUCGUUAAUCAAAGGGCAUCCAUUCUUCGGUCUUAACAUUUUCAUCGUGUGUUUAACUGGUGAAGAGGAAUGAUGCUAAACUGGCGCACGUCCACCCCAUGCAGGUGCACACACGCGUCCCAAAGAGUGCGAGCUCUAAUUUUAGUCAUCGAAGCGUCAGAAUAAACGUAAGUCACUCGGGGGCCUUGUAAGGCUAGGAGGUAAUCUGGGGACCCCCGGUAUGCACUCCCCGUUAAGCAUCCACGGCUACCAACAACUCUAUUUUUGCUAUUUCUUUAUUUGUACCAGAGUUUGCCGCUCGUGUUGGGUUACGGCUUGCUCGUAGCUUUUUCUUCGAGGAAAGAAUUCAAAUCGACAACCACAUCGUAGAUCAAAUAGACCCGACGAUAUUCUUCAAAUUCCCGUUUACGGGAAUUCUGUACAAUUAUUAUAUAACGAAAAACGAAUAUUUAUUUGUACGGAAAUAAAAAAAUUGGCAUCGAUGAUGCGCGCGGGGGAGACGAAGGAAUUGUAGAUCGAAAAGCUUUUGUCUUGAGACUAAGAACUGAAAUAUAAAUCUUAAGGAGAGCCGAUAAAUUUAAUUAUUUCCAUCCUCGAGAUAAUUAUACUGCGAUCGUUUAAUUGGCUGGUAAUGUCUUCGUAAAAUGUUCUAAGCGAACAGCUGUGGGUACUAUUUCUAGAUCCAAAUGACUGGUAUCACUGAUUCAUGAUAUAACAGAGGAAAGCGCAAAUUUUAAUUAAAUUGACUUUUUAUCGAUCACACUUUAAGAAAUCAAAUAGAAAAAUUAUUUAAAAAUAAAAAUAGUAAUUUCACGGUUUAUCGUCGUGUAAUCCUCUAUCCUCUUAAAGCAAAUAAAAAAAUAUAAAUAAUCACUUAAAGUUACGCACAAAUUGGCUGAGCGCCAGAAUACACUGUAUCCAAAGUUAAAUGUCAUCAGAAACCAAAACACAAUAUUUCUUUCAAAUUCCUUGGAGUAUUAAAUCGCAAUUUGGGCUCGAGUUCAUUAUAUCAUCCACGUUGAGACAUCGCGCACGAUAAAGGUUCACAUAAUCCGACAUUCAGUUAUUAUAUAAUACAGUUUUAUUAUCAUUAAUCAUAUAGUAUAAUAAGAACAAUACGCCAGGCAGCAAUAUGAGCCGACGUCGAUGCGCCUGGUUAUGGUAUUCCAUCGUAUACUUCACUCUCGUCGUUUACCACCCCCGUAUGUGUAUUGCAAAUGCCAAAGAAAUAUUUUUUUUUUACGUGCGCGUACGAUUUCAAUAUAGCCUGUAUGUGUGUGCGUGUACGUAUAGUGCAUGUAAAUAUCUGCUUAAUACAUGGUUUACAAGACCGAGAAGGGCUCGUUUGGAAAAAUGACCGAGGAGAAGAAUGUCAAUAAAUUAAGUAACGGUAAUAACAAACAGUCGUGAUGUAUAAACUACAAAGUAAAGUACAGUCUGAUAAAUGUGUUGAAUAAAGGCACUUCAGUAAUUUUCGUAUCCCAAAAACUUUGUAUUCCC